AGAGAUGUGUGAUGACGCAUAUCAAUAAGCGGAGGAAAAGAAACUAACUAGGAUUCCCUUAGUAACGGCGAGUGAAGCGGGAAGAGCUCAAAUUUGAAAUCUUCAAGGUUUCUACCUUGACGAAUUGUAGUUUAAAGAAGUGUUUUCUGUUGGAGUUUCGGUAAAAGUUCUUUGGAAUAGGACAUCAUAGAGGGUGAGAAUCCCGUAUUUGACCAUUUAUUUCCAGCUGUGUGAUACACUUUCAAAGAGUCGGAUUGUUUGGGAAUGCAGUCCAAAAUGGGUGGUAAAUUUCAUCUAAAGCUAAAUAUUGGCGAGAGACCGAUAGCGAACAAGUACCGUGAGGGAAAGAUGAAAAGAACUUUGAAAAGAGAGUUAAACAGUACGUGAAAUUGUCAAAAGGGAAGCGUUUGACACCAGUGUUGUUUUCUCGAAAAUCAAUAAAAAUGAACUUGGAUUUUGUGUUGUAUUGACCUUAAAAGCUUUCUUCACUUUUUUCUUGUUAUUUUUAAUGCACUUUUCGUUUAACAAGUCAACAUCAGUUUCUUUUGUUGUAAAAGGGUAUGAGGAAGGUGGCUUUCUUUUCGGAGAAAGUGUUUAUAGCCUUGUGCCUCUGCAAUCGGAGAGAUUGAGGUCUGCAGCGUAGAUCCUUCGGGGUUAGAUACAUUUGUGCUAAGUUAUAGCUUUUCAUAGACAACUUGUUGACUAUGUUUAGUCUUGUAGCUUACUCGCUUAUGCUAUUUUACCUACGCUUAGGAUGUUGAUCUGUAGUGCGUGCC
rnacentral:rRNA from 1 species